CUCUUCACCCUCAGCUACCCCUUUGGACUUUCCUACAGGAGAAUCGUAUCUAAACAGUGCAGAGUGGAGUGUGUAUCUCUUGACAGUGAGCAAAAAGGUUCAUUUGGAGAGACCACCUGCCACAUCAGCAAACCCAUCCUCAAAGGAAACUCUCAGGCUGUGUUACAUAUUACAUACAGCAUCAGUAAAGAACACACCUUCGAUCAAAAUGUCAAAUUUACUGCUAGAAUCAACAGGUAUGACACAUGAAUAUCACCUNUGACAAUGGAUGUUACGUUUCCACUUGAUGGUUAAAGUUAAAUCUGGGAUUCUAAAGCAAAACCAGUUGAAAUUUGAUGUUUAAUUUAGUCAGGUAAUAUUUUGUUUGACAUGAAAUCUAAUUUAACAUUUUUUAGUUGUAUUAAUUGUAUUACACUGUAGUUAGUAAUUGGCCAAGCUAAAUAUUCUUCGGACUGAUAAAUCUCAUUAGACAACUUGUUUUUUUAUAUUUUAUUGUAUGGUUUACCAAAUAAAUGCAGGCUUGAGGAAAGUGUUUUCA
ensembl:lncRNA